CUCUAGCCCGGAUUGAACGGCUUGUUUGAGCUCUUUUUGCUGCAAAGAAAAAGCAGGGCACAAAAAAGCGAGUAGUGAAAGCCGGAUUAAGC
rnacentral:misc_RNA from 1 species